UCCCUGGCAGUCCAGGGGUUAGGACUCUGUGCUUCCACUGCACAGGUCCUGGGUUCGAUCCCUGGUCGGGGAA
rnacentral:tRNA from 1 species